rnacentral:rRNA from 1 species
GACGUAGGAGGCGAGCGUUGUCCGGAUUCAUUGGGCGUAAAGAGCGCGCAGGCGGCUUGGUAAGUCGGAUGUGAAAUCCCGAGGCUCAACCUCGGGUCUGCAUCCGAUACUGCCCGGCUAGAGGUAGGUAGGGGAGAUCGGAAUUCCUGGUGUAGCGGUGAAAUGCGCAGAUAUCAGGAGGAACACCGGUGGCGAAGGCGGCAUCCUGGACCGGUAUUGACGCUGGAGGCGCGAAAGCCUAGGGGAGCAAACGGG